rnacentral:rRNA from 1 species
GACAGGUGGUGCAUGGUUGUCGUCAGCUCGUGUCGUGAGAUGUUGGGUUAAGUCCCGCAACGAGCGCAACCCUUAAGCUUAGUUGCCAUCAUUAAGUUGGGCACUCUAAGUUGACUGCCGGUGACAAACCGGAGGAAGGUGGGGAUGACGUCAAAUCAUCAUGCCCCUUAUGAUUUGGGCUACACACGUGCUACAAUGGACAAUACAAAGGGCAGCGAAACCGCGAGGUCAAGCAAAUCCCAUAAAGUUGUUCUCAGUUCGGAUUGUAGUCUGCAACUCGACUACAUGAAGCUGGAAUCGCUAGUAAUCGUAGAUCAGCAUGCUACGGUGAAUACGUUCCCGGGUCUUGUACACACCGCCCGUCACACCACGAGAGUUUGUAACACCCGAAGCCGGUGGAGUAACCUUUUAGG